GGUAUUGAACUGCACUAAUAUGACAAACACUGAUACGCCCUCAACUGAGUCAUUCUCAAAACAGGCAUACUCUUUUAUUACUUUAUUCUUGUUUUUAUUUUUAUUUUUAAAUCAGAUGGUGCUGAACCACUGAGCUACACCCUCUUUUAAAUUUUAAUUUUAUGACAGUGUCUCACAAAUUUCACAGGCUGGCUUGAACUUGCCAUCCUCCUGCCUCAGCCUGCCGAGUAGAUGGGUUGAUAGGAAUAUACCACCAAUCUGGCUCACACACAUGUACACUUGAAACUUAAUUUUUGUUCAGCAUUAUAUUGUGAAUAUUUCCAUGUUGUGAGGAAGUAUUACAGUAAAUUAUCUCCAGAUUACAUGAAAAAGAUCAAAGAUUCCAAACUUUGAAAGAAUACUAAAGUGGUGACUAUAGAACUAAUUAGUUCAGUCUUUUGUCACAUUUGUUUUAGAAUGAACAAAUUAUAGUUAUAUAAUUCUUGCUGACACCCUAGAAAAUCAAUCAUUGUGACAUUCAUUCCUAAGUAAAUCAGUGCUUAUCUCUUAUAAAAUGACAUUCUUCUUUCAACACCAAUAUUGUUAUGACACUAAGGAAAAUUGCUGUAUCCUUCUAAUAUUAGCCAAUGUCAAAUGGUAUAAAAUUUGCCUAAUUACAACUCUCCUCAGUUAGGAAUGAAUCAUGGACAGCCUAGCCAACCUACACUCUCAGACCCUCCACCGAAUCUACAGAGGACAAGAAAGGUUCCACAUAGCACCAAGACCCAACAACACCAAACACAUCUCCAUUCACAGAGAAAAGGCCCAGACCCACCUGUUCCCACACCUACCCCUCGUGCAGCCCAGCUGUCUGUCCUGAAUCCACCAGGACUAACCUCUUGUGUCCUUUCCCUGUCAGGUUAGUCAUGCUAGGUCUCCUUCAAUGUCCUGUAGUGUUAUCCUCAUGAGGCUCUGCAUAUUCCUGUCCUGUCUCUUCUCCUGCCAUCUCCCCAACUCCUGGAAUCUUUCCAAGUCACCCCUUGGAAUCUCAGCUUAUAAAAAACAAACCUGCAAAGUUCUCUCAGGACGUCCUUGCCUCCCAGAUCUAACAUAAAUGUGGUUUCCAGGAGAACAUGGGACCUCUGAAAUCUCUUCUCAUUGGGGUUUCCCUGAGGACCAUGUACAGCAUCUGGGGUGGGGUCCUUCCUCCACACUGAGGUUCUCAGAUCUUUCAGCUCCCUCUUCUCAACAUCCACUAGUCUUCCCAAUAUCCACUGCCUACCAACUCUCCUCAUGGUGGGCACUCCCAGGCCCCCCAGUCAAUUUCCCCAUCUCUGCACUCUUGGCUUCUCCUUGUUCCUCACCCUCUCAGAAAUGCUAUCUCCUUACUCCUCACUGAUUUCAACACAAGAAGAUGUGGGGACUGAAGAAUGGUCCCUAUAGAUGCUCACACCCUAAUCUUAGAAGAGUGAGGAUGUUGUAUUAUAUGGCAAAGGGGACAUUACUGAUGAAACUGAGGUGACAAUGUGAAAAUGGGGAGAUUGUAUUGGAUACUCUGGGUCACCCAAUCAAAUCACAGUAAGACUUCCAAGCUGUGACCCUUCUCUGGCUGGAGUCAGAGAGACACUACAAGAGACGCAGGUGGAGGAGAUGUAGCAGAGGGGACUUCAGAGGUUCCAGUGGAAGAAGGAUAAGAUGUGCUGUAGGGGGCACAUAUGGACCUGAGAGAGGGCUCCAGGAGCUAAAAGUGGUACCUGAAUGACGGUUAGCAAGGAGAUAGGGACUUAAUUUUCAAACAACUUUAUUGAUCCUGGAAGCAGAUUCCUUAUCAAAGCCUCCAGUAAGGAACAAAGACCUGCUGUCACCUUGGCUUUAGCUCUGUGAGCCCCGCAGGGGACUUGGAACCUACAUAACAGGAGGUCAUAAAUGGAGCUACAUAAAACCACUUGGGUUGUGGUAAUUUCUGUGGCUCUGUGACCUCUGUUUAGACUGGGAAAACUGAUGUCCACCCCUCAGCAGGUGGUCAUGACAUAGAUGCUCAAGAAGACAAUGGAGGAUGAGGCUGAGGGAAGAGGGCGUGUGGAAUAGAGAGAUUCUGUGAGGUCACAAGCCCCCUCAGAGAGUGAAAUUCCAAAUGUCCAAGAGGACACUUUCACUAAAGCUCACAGGAAUAUGCUGGUGACAAGGGCCUGCUUCACUAAAAAGGUGGGUAUUUUCCUAUUCAAGCUGGAAUGAGGGUGGGGAAGGGGCUCAUUCAUAUUCAUAGGGAGGGUUUGGUCCUGAAAGGUCAGAAGAUCAAGUAGUGACAGUUAAUCAGCACUGACCAGAGACCAUGCCCACCACAGCAACCCCAGAGCAGCAGUCAGGGGUGCUCUGAUCUGCAAGGGGCUGUGGAAAUUUGUGGAAUUUUAUGUCCCUAGGGUCAAACAGAUAGGUGUCAGACAGACGACCAGUAAGCACCCUUCUCAAUAUCAGCAAUAAACAUAAAACUGUGGAGCAGGAGGCUGAAAGUGUUUGAACCAAUAAGUCUUGAUUCCAUUCUCAAUUCUGAGCCAAUUUUCAGAUUCAGAACCCAGUGACUGAAGAUGUGUCCACAUCAAGGGAAGAAAGAACCUAGGACACCAUGACAAGGACAUGUGACCAUGAUUCCCUCAGUCCUUCUGCCAAGGAAUCAUCAUUAUAUCAGGAGACUUCAUGAAGAGAGAGAAACAGGCAGGAGGCUGGGGAGUGUCAUGCACUGGGAUUGAGUAGACACCAACACCCACAUACCCACAGCCUCACCAUCCCUCCCUCUGUGAUGCAGUGUUAAGAGUCUGGACUGGAUGCACAUCCCAUAGAAUAUGAAGUCAGUUCAUUUCAUCCCACAUCAUGCUGCCUGGGAUGGAUGAGCAAGAGGGGGAAAGUGCCCUGGAGCUCUUGAUGAGGCACACGCACCUCAGAAAGUGGAAGAUAAAAUGUUCAGAGAUUCAGGAGUGGCCCCUUCAUUGUGAUUACACGUCCAGCUGUUAAAGACAAGCAGAGAUGUCCCCUCCAUGGUACUGGACCAGCUGCUGCACCUGGCACCUCUCACUGCAGGGAAGGAAGCAGGCAGCCUGCAACUCUUUGGGUUCUGACAACAUCACCUUCUACACUGAGGCACAAUGUUUGUGCCAUAUAUUUGGUGACAUAAUAGGCCAGCUUCAUGUGGAACCUGGACAGGAAUGGACACUAUUAUAGUUCUAGGCCAUGAUGGUAUCAGGCACCACCCCUCAGACUCCACUGCUAUGGGGGUAUCAGUGGUGUGAGAGGUGCAGGAUGGAGCUGACCCAAGCACAGGGUGAGAAACACUAUCAAGGGCCCUGGAGUCUGAGGGAGGCCAUACCUUCCACACCCAGAAAUGUGCCCCUCUCAGUAAUGAGCUUUUGUGAGUUACUAGGCCUGGUGAAGUUUGACCAUGGGACACUAAAGAACACUGGAGUGAUGAUAGCCAACAUGGACUGGGCUCUGUGGAGCUCACUACGUCACAACCUGGACAUGGAAAUGGCACAUCUGAGCUUGAGCCUGAAUCACAUGCAGAAAACCAUCACACUGAAGUGGCUAUGAACAGCCAAGUAGACAAAUGGACAGGAUCCAACUGUUAUAAUUUGGGUCUUGAGUGUCCUAAAGGCACAUGAGUUACAGACUUGUUCCCCUGGUGGAACCUCCAGGAUGUAGAUCCUACUGGAAGGAAAUGAAGACCCUGGGUGUGUGUCAUUGAAGGGGAUGUUGGGAUCUGGCCCCUUCCUGUCUUUCUUUUUGCUUUCUAGCUGCCAUGAGGGGAUCAGCUUCCUCUGCUAGGGGCUCCCCAUGUUCAUGUUCUCUCUCACAACAGGUCCCAAAGCAACAGAGCCUUCUGACCAGGGACUGAAAGUUUUGAAAUAGUGAGCCCAAAUAAACCUUUCCUCCUUUUAAGUUGGUUGUCUC
rnacentral:lncRNA from 1 species